GACGAACGCUGGCGGCGUGCUUAACACAUGCAAGUCGAACGAUGAAGCCUAGCUUGCUAGGUGGAUUAGUGGCGAACGGGUGAGUAAUACGUGAGUAACCUACCUUUAACUCUGGGAUAAGCCUGGGAAACUGGGUCUAAUACCGGAUACGACCAAUCUCCGCAUGGGGUGUUGGUGGAAAGCGUUAUGUAGUGGUUAUAGAUGGGCUCACGGCCUAUCAGCUUGUUGGUGAGGUAACGGCUCACCAAGGCGACGACGGGUAGCCGGCCUGAGAGGGUGACCGGCCACACUGGGACUGAGACACGGCCCAGACUCCUACGGGAGGCAGCAGUGGGGAAUAUUGCACAAUGGGCGCAAGCCUGAUGCAGCGACGCCGCGUGAGGGAUGACGGCCUUCGGGUUGUAAACCUCUGUUAGCAGGGAAGAAGAGAGAUUGACGGUACCGCA
rnacentral:rRNA from 1 species